CAGUAGCCACGGGAAUACGAAGGGGGCUAGCGUUGCUCGGAAUGACUGGGCGUAAAGGGCGCGUAGGCGGAUUGCGCAGUCAGAUGUGAAAUUCCUGGGCUUAGCCUGGGGGCUGCAUUUGAGACGCGUAGUCUAGAGUGUGAAAGAGGGUCGUGGAAUUCCCAGUGUAGAGGUGAAAUUCGUAGAUAUUGGGAAGAACACCGGUGGCGAAGGCGGCGACCUGGUUCAUAACUGACGCUGAGGCGCGAAAGCGUGGGGAGCAAACAGGAUUAGAUACCCCCGUAGUCCCUGUCUCUUAUAC
rnacentral:rRNA from 1 species